AGUGAACGCUGGCGGUAGGCCUAACACAUGCAAGUCGAACGGCAGCACAGUAAGAGCUUGCUCUUACGGGUGGCGAGUGGCGGACGGGUGAGGAAUACAUCGGAAUCUACUUUUUCGCGGGGGAUAACGUAGGGAAACUUACGCUAAUACCGCAUACGACCUACGGGUGAAAGCAGGGGAUCUUCGGACCUUGCGCGAUUGAAUGAGCCGAUGUCGGAUUAGCUAGUUGGCGGGGUAAAGGCCCACCAAGGCGACGAUCCGUAGCUGGUGUGGGAGGAUGAUCGGCCACACUGGAACUGAGACACGGUCCAGGCUCCUACGGGAGGCAGCAGUGGGGAAUAGUGGACAAUGGGCGCAAACCUGAUCCAGCCAUACCGCGUGGGUGAAGAAGGCCUUCGGGUUGUAAAGCCCUUUUGUUGGGAAAGAAAAGCAGCAGGUUAAUACCCCGCUGUUCUGACGGUACCCAAAGAAUAAGCACCGGCUAACUUCGUG
rnacentral:rRNA from 1 species